rfam:Sorangium cellulosum 'So ce 56' complete genome
GCAGCGGGACAGGCGAUCGCCGGCGGACGGGGAAACCCGGCCGCGGGAGGAAAGUCCGAGCUCCGCAGGGCAGGGUGCCGGGUAACGCCCGGUGAGAGCGAUCUCGAGGAAAGUGCAACAGAGAACAGACCGCCGCGCCGCGCGCUUCGCAAGGGCAACGAGCCUCCAGCCCGGAUGGGCUGGGCUCCGAGCCUCCGCUGGCUCGCCGCGCGGCAAGGGUGAAACGGCGGGGUAAGAGCCCACCGCGCCCUUGGCAACAAGGGCGGCACGGCAAACCCCACCUGGAGCAAGGCCGCGUAGGGAGGCGUCUGCGACGGCGACAGCCGCCGCGGCAAGGGCUGCCCGCCCCAGGCCUCCGGGUUGGCUGCUUGAGGCGCGUGGCGACGCGCGUCCUAGAGGAAUGAUCGCCGGCGCGAGGGGGGCGACUCCCCGCGCAACAGAACUCGGCUUACGUCUCCUGCGACC